GGACCUACGGGGCGCAGCAGUGAGAAAUAUUGGUCAAUGGUCGGGAGACUGAACCAGCCAAGCCGCGUGAGGGAUGAAGGUACAGAGUAUCGUAAACCUCUUUUGUCAGGGAACAAAGGCGGGGACGUGUCCCCGGAUGAGUGUACCCGAAGAAAAAGCAUCGGCUAACUCCGUGCCAGCAGCCGCGGUAAUACGGAGGAUGCGAGCGUUAUCCGGAUUUAUUGGGAUUAAAGGGUGCGUAGGCGGUCUGUUAAGUCAGCGGUCAAAGCCAGGGG
rnacentral:rRNA from 1 species